rnacentral:rRNA from 1 species
GAUGAACGCUGGCGGCGUGCCUAAUACAUGCAAGUCGAGCGAACAGACGAGGAGCUUGCUCCUCUGACGUUAGCGGCGGACGGGUGAGUAACACGUGGAUAACCUACCUAUAAGACUGGGAUAACUUCGGGAAACCGGAGCUAAUACCGGAUAAUAUAUUGAACCGCAUGGUUCAAUAGUGAAAGACGGUUUUGCUGUCACUUAUAGAUGGAUCCGCGCCGCAUUAGCUAGUUGGUAAGGUAACGGCUUACCAAGGCAACGAUGCGUAGCCGACCUGAGAGGGUGAUCGGCCACACUGGAACUGAGACACGGUCCAGACUCCUACGGGAGGCAGCAGUGGGGAAUCUUCCGCAAUGGGCGAAAGCCUGAUGGAGCAACGCCGCGUGAGUGAUGAAGGUCUUCGGAUCGUAAAACUCUGUUAUUAGGGAAGAACAAAUGUGUAAGUAACUAUGCACGUCUUGACGGUACCUAAUCAGAAAGCCACGGCUAACUACGUG